rnacentral:rRNA from 1 species
GAUGAACGCUGGCGGCGUGCCUAAUACAUGCAAGUCGAGCGAACAGACGAGGAGCUUGCUCCUCUGACGUUAGCGGCGGACGGGUGAGUAACACGUGGAUAACCUACCUAUAAGACUGGGAUAACUUCGGGAAACCGGAGCUAAUACCGGAUAAUAUAUUGAACCGCAUGGUUCAAUAGUGAAAGACGGUUUUGCUGUCACUUAUAGAUGGAUCCGCGCCGCAUUAGCUAGUUGGUAAGGUAACGGAUUACCAAGGCCACGAUGCGUAGCCGACCUGAGAGGGUGAUCGGCCACACUGGAACUGAGACACGGUCCAGACUCCUACGGUAGGCAGCAGUACGGAAUCUUCCGCAAUGGGCGAAAGCUUGACGGAGCAACGCCGCGUGAGUGAUGAAGGUCUUCGGACCGUAAAACUCUGUUAUUAGGGAAGAACAAAUGUGUAAGUAACUAUGCACGUCUUGACGGUACCUAAUCAGAAAGCCACGGCUAACUACGUG